rnacentral:misc_RNA from 1 species
GAUGAAGAACGUAGCGAAAUGCGAUAAGUAGUGUGAAUUGCAGAAUUCAGUGAAUCAUCGAAUCUUUGAACGCACAUUGCGCCCUUUGGUAUUCCAAAGGGCAUGCCUGUUCGAGCGUCAUUUGUACCCUCAAGCUUUGCUUGGUGUUGGGCGUCUUGUCUCUAGCUUUGCUGGGGACUCGCCUUAAAGUAAUUGGCAGCCGGCCUACUGGUUUCGGAGCGCAGCACAAGUCGCACUCUCUAUCAGCAAAGGUCUAGCAUCCAUUAAGCCUUUUUUUCAACUUUUGACCUCGGAUCAGGUAGGGAUACCCGCUGAACUUAAGCAUAUCAAUAAGCGGAGGA